rnacentral:rRNA from 1 species
CCUACGGGAGGCAGCAGUGAGGAAUAUUGGUCAAUGGACGAGAGUCUGAACCAGCCAAGUAGCGUGAAGGAUGACUGCCCUAUGGGUUGUAAACUUCUUUUAUCUGGGAAUAAAAUGUUCCACGUGUGGGAUUCUGUAUGUACCAUAUGAAUAAGGAUCGGCUAACUCCGUGCCAGCAGCCGCGGUAAUACGGAGGAUCCGAGCGUUAUCCGGAUUUAUUGGGUUUAAAGGGAGCGUAGGUGGAUUGUUAAGUCAGUUGGGAAAGUUUGCGGCUCAACCGUCAAAUUGCCGUUGAAACUGGCAGUCUUGAGUACAGUAGAGGUGGGCGGAAUUCGUGGUGUAGCGGUGAAAUGCUUAGAUAUCACGCAGAACUCCGAUUGCGAAGGCAGUUCACUGGACUGCAACUGACGCUGAGGCUCGAAAGUGUGGGUAUCAAACAGGAUUAGAUACCCGUGUAGUC